GCGUGAGUGAUGAAGGCCUUAGGGUUGUAAAGCUCUUUCACCGGGGAAGAUAAUGACGGUACCCGGAGAAGAAGCCCCGGCUAACUCCGUGCCAGCAGCCGCGGUAAUACGGAGGGGGCUAGCGUUGUUCGGAAUUACUGGGCGUAAAGCGCGCGUAGGCGGCCGGCCAAGUUGGGGGUGAAAGCCCGGGGCUCAACCCCGGAACUGCCUUCAAGACUGGUCGGCUUGAGUCCGGGAGAGGUGAGUGGAAUUCCCAGUGUAGAGGUGAAAUUCGU
rnacentral:rRNA from 1 species